rnacentral:rRNA from 1 species
UGCACCGGAUCCCAUCAGAACUCCGCAGCUAAGCGUGCUUGGGCGAGAGUAGUACUAGGAUGGGUGACCUCCUGGGAAGUCCUGGUGUUGCACCCC